AUUCCGUUCUUCAUCGCGUUAUGGGAUGUCCCAAGUUAACUCCUAUUUAAGCUUUUCUUUUGUAGGCAGAUUCAACUGAUCACAACAACUCUGGAUUCACGGUUUCUAUGGACAUUGCUUUAUUUCAUCGCUGGGAAUCUUAAAGGGAAUAAUAAGAAACGAAGAAGAGGAGAGAGAUGAAGAGGAAGAGGGAGGAAGAUUCACAAGCCAGUGGAACAAAACCAGCAAAUGAGGAGAAACUGGUUAAAUCGAGCAGUAUGAUUAUUCCGGGAACAGACUUCUCUCAUGAUGCAGAAAAGCCUGAGAGUCAUUCGGAUGUGUCUCAAUCAAAGCCGAGGGUCCUGAACAAUCUCCAGCAGAUCAUCUGAACGCCAACAAGACAAACCUCUACGAAUCUCUCACGUUUCUUCAAAUGGAGCUGCAAGAGUUAAUUGUUUACAGGCCCGGCUCCAUCCAAUCAGGAGCUUGGUUCACACCCCUGUCUCACUCCAAAUAACAUCCAGCUGUUGUUCAAUGUUCAGUUCAGCUCCAGGUUUUGAGGGAGAUUUAUCUCUUUGGCAGCUUGGUGUGAAAAUCCCACGUGUUCUUCAGAAAGUAGAGAGAAUUUUUUUACAGAUGUAUUUUAAUUUUUGCACUUCAUUGCAUUGUGUUUUAGGAUUGUCCUUAGAUUUUAUGAAUAAUGUCCUGGCAUUUUUACAGUAUUGCUGUUUUCUGUUUGCACACGGAGCCCAUUUCAGACAUCACUGACCUGAAUUCACUUUUGGGUUUUAUCAUGAGAGAAAAAAACUGCUUUAUAAACCUGCAUUUAUUUAAAAACGAAAGAAAAUGAAAUCGCUUUGCUUAAAUCUGCUCUUGACUUCACUUCUUUAACUUUAAUAAGAAUUAAGCUAUAUUUAAUUGAUAGUAUUUCAUAUCUAAAUAAUAUUGCUAAACCUUAAACAGUUUCUAUUUCAUUUGUCUGUUUGUCCAGUUGUAUUUUUGUGCCAUUGCUUGUAAUUUGAUCAUUUGUUCUUAUUUUAUUAUUGACUGUUUACUUGUAUUUUUAAAUUCUUUUUAAAAUAUUAUUAUUGUGAGUUUUUUAUUUUAUUUUAUUUGUCCACCAGGAAUGUUCAUUGAUCCCAUCUCAAAGCUGGAGCUGACUAUCUUCAGAUAUAAUACUGUGAAUGUAUGUAGAUUCAGCUUUAUAACUUUAUAUCUGCUGUGAAUUGAUGUGUAACUUGAUUAUGAAGAAUCAAACGGCUGAUAAAUGCUCUUCAUUAAUAAUUGUAGGUCAUGUGACUAAAGGCAGAACGUUUUCCUGCUGUUGUUGAUAACAAACACACAUCGUCUGUAACUCAUCUAGUGUAAGACUAUAUUUCUACACUUUAUUGUAAACCUGAUUUUUUAAUAUGUGUCACAGAAAGAGUCUUUACUAUAAAACAUUCUGAUGACAGCUAUAAAUAAAUGGCUUAUUAUGAAAA